UACGUAGGGAGCAAGCGUUGUCCGGAAUCAUUGGGCGUAAAGCGCGCGUAGGCGGCCCUGUAAGUCCGUUGUGAAAGUCAAAGGCUCAACCCUGGGAUGCCGGUGGAUACUGUCGGGCUCGAGUCCGGAAGAGGCGAGUGGAAUUCCUGGUGUAGCGGUGAAAUGCGCAGAUAUCAGGAGGAACACCAAUGGCGAAGGCAGCUCGCUGGGACGUGACUGACGCUGAGACGCGAAAGCGUGGGGAGCAAACAGG
rnacentral:rRNA from 1 species